rnacentral:lncRNA from 1 species
UAUCACAUGUUUGGACCACAAUUGCUGUACAAUUGUGGAGGCUUCUACUUUCCUCCAGCCAGAUCUAUAAUUACUGGCACUGAAAAAAAAAUUGUAACAUUUUUGGCAGCCUUCUUGCAUAUAGGUGGCAUGCCCAAAGGCCAUCAUGUUCAUGAAAGACAUUUAACCAACUAAAGAAGAAAAAAAAACGACAUAUCUUCCAGAUUUACUUUGGUCUAAGGCUCCAUAUUCUCCAUUGAGUUCUUUAACCUAUAUGUUAACAUAUGACUUAGCUACUGUGAUAUAGGAUGACUUUUUAAGUGUCUCUAUUUGGGCUAAAACUCAUGGGCAGUAUAGGAUAUCUCUUUGACUAUUUGCAAAGAGAUUGGACAGCAGUUUUCUGUUUAGGUUUGUUUUUAUUCUUUUCUUUGGAAAUCCUCUUAUCCUCCAUUGAUGUUCUUUCUUCUAUUCCCUCUAAUGUAACUUAUUUCUUUUAGUAAAAGAAAAAGUCAGUACA